CAAAGAAUAGUUUAAGUUAAAAUAUUAGUUUUGGGGAUUAAUGAUAGGGGUAACCUUUUCUUUGA
rnacentral:tRNA from 1 species